AGCUUUGCGCAGUGGCAGUAUCGUAGCCAAUGAGGUUUAUCCGAGACGCGAUUAUUGCUAAUUGAAAGUAGAACAGUAACUCUGUAUAAAAAAGUUAAGUAAACCAGGAAUUUUUCACAAAGGCCAAAAAAAUAGCCG